rnacentral:tRNA from 2 species
GAGCGCGUAGCUCAGUUGGUAGAGCAACUGACUUUUAAUCAGUGGGUCCAGGGUUCGAAUCCCUGCGCGCUCACCA